UGCUUAUCAAGAGAGGUGGAGUGAAGGGCACUUUGAAGCCUCGGCAACAUGGAAUGCGUGUGCCAAAUCCCAUAGCGAUAAUUGCUAAGAGAUAAGAU
rnacentral:ncRNA from 2 species